AAACGCUGUAAAAUGUAAAUAAUCUACACAAAACUUCUACAAAAAAGAUUCAGUACACUUUGUGAAAGGAUCAAUAUUUAAAAAGAUAUUAAAAAGGGAAAAAAAAGGAACCUUAGAAUUGGUUUUAUUAACUUUCCCUUUUUAAUAUCUUUUUAAAUAUUGAUCCUUUCACAAAGUGUACUGAAUCUUUUUUGUAGAAGUUUUGUGUAGAUUAUUUACAUUUUACAGCGUUUUUUGCUAAUUGCAACCGUUUACGAAAAUAUUAUAGAAAAAUGGACCAGAAAAUUGACUUCAAUUAAUUUUCCCGCUUUAAUAUCAUUUUAAAUAUUUAUACUAGUGAAAAAGUGUACUGAAAUUUUCUUGUAGGAAAUGUUAAAUAGAUGAUUUGCGUGAUAGAUCAUUUUUUGACAUGGGCCACCGUUUACGAGUUAUUUAAGAUAAACUAAAAAAGGGACAUUUAAACCCUCCCUCCCCCGUACACAAUAGCGCCACCCCCAUCUAUCAGUAUUUUCAGUAUGUUAUGUAAGGUACCUUUAUCUACAACUAUGCCAAAAUUCGCUUAUACACGAAUUAUUUCCCCGUUUUUUCCUUCGUUUGGUGGCCUAAUACGUACGACUCGAAUUGAAUAAAUUGAAUUUAAGAAUAUAAAUAUUUAAAUUAGAGACACUGCAUAACCUACCUACUUCAUUUGUAGGUACGGUAGAGACUAUACUUACGGUAGGUACUACACAGACAGGCAGGCAUUAGGCAGGUCAAAAUAGAAACAAGUAGCAAUAUUAAAAAAAAAAACAGUAACCUAUUCACCUCGGCGAUACGCGAAUGAAUAGAAAAGUAGCAAGCUGCCACCGCCGGGCAGGCGCGGCGCGCGCGCUGGCGGCGGCCGGUACCGCUCCCGCACCCCGCUCCCUACACACUGCUCCCGAUAUGUUAAGUUUUUAAUACGCUCGUUAUUUUUUUGGAUGUUUUUAUAGUUGGAUGGAAAUAAAACUGUGAUCUUAAUUCAAUAAAUAAAAUG